AGGUGAGGAAGAUUGGCCCUGAGGAAAUCAUUUUAGACCAAGAUUUCUCAACCUCGGCACAACUGACAUUUUGGACUGGCAGGAAUGGCCUUCAGUUUACAAUCAGCAAGAAAACAGGGAACUCAGUUCUACAACCACAAGAAACUGAAUUCUACAACAACCCAAAUGAGCAGGAAACAGAUUCCUCCAGAGAGCCUCCAGAAAGGAGGACACCUUUGUUUGACCGCACUUCUGACCUACAGAACUCUGAGAGAAAGGUAGGGCAAGUAUCUCGACAGACCUGUUGCUCUCCGGCGUGAUGCUCUUCAUCAGCUUUUAAGGAAAUCGGUGAACUGGAAUUAGAAUUAGAGUUACUCCACGUUGAGGCAAAUGAAUCUGGUGAGGAGUUGUUCGUUGCUCUCCAGAGGGUGGACGCUGAUGUAGCCAUGGUUCCUCCACCCUUAAGCAGAGACUCCGCCAUGCCAACCAGUUCUUCAAACUGGGUGACUGCCUGUGGUAACACUAAAAUGGCAACAAAAAAGUAACACUUUAUAAAUACUUUUAAUAAUGGGCAUACGUACAUAUUUUUUAUUGCGUGUAUAUGCAUAGAAAUAUGUGGAACAAGUUGUUAACAUUUGCUAUCUUUGGAAAAUAAACAUGGUAAGAAGAGUGGUUGGAACAUAUUUACUUUUUGUUAUUAAAUAAUUUAAUGGGUCCGGC